rnacentral:lncRNA from 1 species
UACAGUUUGAUAUGGAAAACAGCAGCUGGCUGAUGAGCUGGCCCUGCAGCAAUUUGACAGCAUGGAGGAGCCCAGAGUGGAUAGGACUGAACAUGUCAUUGAGCACCAGCGGCUUUGAUACCAUGGGGACGGUGGCAUCCAAUAAAGCAGCUGUGGUUGGUGAGAAAGGUGGUACUUGGUGGCACAAGAUAGAGACGUCCUUGGCUGAAACGGAUUCAACCUAGAGGUGCAAACAGCAGAAAAUGGCAUGCCGUGGUUGAUGUGGAAAAAAGGAUGUUGUGGUUUGAAUAAAAAAUGGUCCCCAUAGGCACAUGUCUUUAAAUGCUUACUCACCAGGAAAUGACACUGUUUGAAAAGGACUAGAAGGCAUGUCCUUGUCAGAGGAAGUGUUGUCACUGAAGGAGUGCUUGGAGGUCUUGAAAGUCCCCGCCUGGCCCAGUGUCUCUCUCUCCCUCUGCUGCCUGCGCAUCGGGAUGUCAAGUCUGAUCUACUUCCCCAGUGCCAAGUGUGCCACCAUGCUCCCUGUCAUGUCAAUGCACUACUACUCUGAAUCUGUGAGCAAUACCCUGAUUAAAUGCUUUCUUUUAU